GCUUUUUCAAUUUACGGAACAUAUAUAACCAUAUAUGAGAAUUUCUCAUAUGUAGGCUAGGUCAAACCCACCGAACCGUCGCGUAGGGUCUCGAUUCGCCGAACAAAGUUGUCCCCGAGUCUCAAAAUACCCUAAAGGUAUUGAGCGACAAGAUACACGGGCAUUACGAUCAACUAUAAGAUCAAACUUUAACAAAUUUAACAAAAGGGCUAAAACUCACCCAAUGAGUGAAAAAUCUCUCUCAAGCUCCAAAAGAGAGCUAAAUCCCUUCCAAUCCAAGCCCAAGAAAGGUUCUAAACCAACUAAUUUAGGUCCAAAAGCCCUAGAUCAAAAAUGCCCAAAUAUAAGCCCUAAGUAUCAAAUCUAGGGUUUCAUCUCAAAGAAACCUCCAAAAUUCAAAUCUAGAGGAAAAGAUCUAGUCACUUACCUCUAGGAAGCUUCAAACCAAGCUCAAAGUCCUCAAACUUCAAGGAUCAACCCUCAACCAAGCAUAAACCCAAGCUCCAACGGUGAAGGAGCCUUCAAAGUUGCAAAAGAGAGCAAAAGAGAGGGUUUAAUCUCUUAAAAACCCAACCGAAAUCAAAGAAAUCCAAGGGGGAGAGUGUGGAGGCUCCCUUACCUCUCCUCUUGCUGCAGGUGAGCUCAGGGGAAGCCUCAUGGGCGUGGGUGAUGAUAUAAGAAGCCCCCAAUUGCGAAAAACCCCCUGCAGUUCAAACUGCUCAAAAUCAGCCUCCUUGUACCGGUACACGGGUUCUUGUACCGGUACAAGGCCGACGAAAUUGCAAACCCGAGGCUCGGGUCGCGGGGUCUGCGGCUCUGUACCGGUACAAGCCCGAUGGCUGUACCGGUACAACCAUCAACCUUGUACCGGUACAAGACCAACCUUGUUCCGGUACAAGCUCUGCUGCAGGCUAACUCGAGAGCUGUCCAAUGAAUCCAAUUUUUGGAUUUUGGUACCAAGCUUAAAACCACAAUUCUCGGGAUGCUAGCCAUAGGUCGGAACACUGUCUACGACCUUCCAGAAAGUCUGAAAAAGCUCGACACACAGAUCAAACACUCAAACCUCGCAAUUUGCAAAGGUCCAGUGUGUUACAUUCACCCCUCCUAAAAAGGAGUUUCGUCCGCGAAACUCAAAACAAACAAGGUACCUCAAGCCUCCAUAUGAAAAAGAUGGGGAUAGCGCUCCCGCAGUGCGCUCUCUAACUCCCAAGUGGCCUCGCGCUCGUCGUGGUUGCUCCAAAGCACCUUCACGAAGGGAAUUUCCCGGUUUCGCAAUCUCUUCACCUCGCGAGCCAAAAUUCUCAAAGGUUGCUCCUCAAAGCUCAAAUCCUCCCGCAGCUCCAUAGGUGUAGCAUCCAAUACAUGAGCCGGGUCGUGGAUGUACUUCCGAAGGACCGAUGCAUGGAAUACAUUGUGUACACCCGAUAGGUUCGGCGGUAGGGCAAGCCUAUACGCUACCGGGCCUACACGCUCCAAAACCUCAUACGGUCCAAUAUAUCGGGGGCUCAACUUGCCCCGGAUUCCAAAUCGUCUAAUUCCUCGAGUCGGCGAGACUUUCAAGAAGACAUGAUCUCCAACCUGAAACUCCAAGUCUUGUCGCCGCCUGUCAGCAUAACUCCUCUGCCUACUCUGGGCUGUCAACAAUCGCUCCCGAGCAAUGCGAACCUUGUCUUCUGCUUCCUGGAGCACAUCUGGGCCUAAAGCCAAUCUCUCGCUAACUUCACUCCAAUGAAGCGGCGACCUAUACUUCCGUCCAUAGAGUGCCUCGAACGGUGCCAUCUUGAUGCUUGCCUGAUAACUGUUGUUAUAAGCAAACUCUGCCAUCGAUAGAUGCUGCGACCAUCCUCCCUGGAAGUCAAUCACGCAAGCUCGAAGCAUGUCCUCGAGAGUCUGUAUCGUACGCUCCGACUGUCCAUCACUCUGCGGGUGGAAUGCUGUACUAAAAUCUAAUCGAGUGCCUAAGGCGUCCUGCAGACUCCUCCAAAAGUGAGAGACAAAGCGGGUGUCUCGAUCCGAAACAAUGGAUGUAGGCACUCCGUGAAGUCGCACAAUCUCAUCAAGGUACACUUGUGCGAGCUUCUCUCCGGUCCAAGUAGUAUGAAUAGGCACGAAGUGCGCCGACUUCGUCAACCUAUCCACGAUCACCCAAAUAGCGUCAUGCCCCGCCUGUGAGCGUGGCAAUCCUGUCACAAAGUCCAUGGUGAUCUUCUCCCACUUCCACACUGGAAUAGGCAAACUCUGAAGCUUCCCCGCGGGAACUCGGUGCUCUGCCUUCACUUGUUGGCAAGUUAAGUAUCUAGCAACAAACUCGCCAACAUCCUUUUUCAUCCCAGGCCACCAAUAGAGCAACUUUAAGUCCUUAUACAUUUUGGUGCCACCCGGAUGUAUAGCAUAGGGCGCCCGGUGCGCUUCUUGAAGAAUAUCCUCUUUAAUUCUCGAAUCCGCGGGUACACAGAUCCGCCCACGAAAACGCAUCAAUCCAUUACCGUCUAAAGUGAAGUCACCGGUGCAACCAUCAACCAUCUUAGUUCGAACCUUUUGCAACUCCGAGUCGGAAGCUUGCUUUUCUUUAAUCCUUUCCAAAAGUAUAGGUUGCACCACCAAAGUCAUCAGUCUUAAAGGUGUAUCAGGAGCCACCACCUCCAACUCCAACCGCUUCAUCUGCUCGAUCAACGGCGGUUGAGUAACCACAAGCAUCGCUAAGUUCUCAGUCGAUUUCCGACUUAGUGCAUCUGCCACCACGUUAGCCUUGCCCGGGUGGUAAAGAAUAGUCAAGUCAUAAUCCUUGAGUAGCUCCAACCAUCUGCGCUGCCUCAAGUUNACCUGUCGAGAGCCCAAUCGGACGUCAUCUCGAACAUGGCCUUGUUCCAACCAGAACAUGGCCAUGUUCCAACUACCAACAUGGCCAUGUCGGUAGCCUGAACAUGGCCAUGUCUCGGCGUCUGGGGCGCUGGGCUCGGAGCCCAAACGUUAAAGCAGCCGGAACAUGGCCAUGUUCUUGGGCACAUGGCCAUGUUCCUCCGACUAAAACUCGUCAAACUUGACGUCCCCCAAAAAGCGUUAACCCCCGAAGAAUAUAGUAGUGGGUGCGGGUACUCCGAAGGGGUCUCGAGUGGACGUCAUUCUCCUCUCCAUUCCCUCGGAAGUGUGAGAGGGGGAACCUAAAGAAACUAAAGCCAACCCAAAAAUUCUCUAAUUUGGGAGAGAAAACGAGAGAAAACGUGGAAACUUCCGAGGAAGUGGCAACCUCGAACCCAAAUACGAACCAACUCCCAACUAGGAACUUCAAACUCCUGAAACUCGAACCAAACUUCGAAGGAUCUCCAUUCACUGAUCUAGAAAAGGAGAUAUGAAUCCAAUUUUUGGAUUUUGGUAUCAAGCUUAAAACCACAAUUCUCGGGAUGCGAGCCAUAGGUCGGAACACUGUCUACGACCUUCCAGAAAGUCUGAAAAAGCUCGACACACAGAUCAAACACUCGAACCUCGCAAUUUGCAAAGGUCCAGUGUGUUACACAGUCUUAGCUUUUACUCUGUUUGAAUACCUGCAAAUUGAAGAACGGUGUGAAGGAUCUCAAUUACAACAACAUCUAGAAAUACAUGACAAUUCGGU
rnacentral:lncRNA from 1 species